rnacentral:rRNA from 1 species
CUAGAAUACCGAGGCGUUCGGGUGAACUAUGGUUAAGGAACUCGGCAAAAUGCCCCCGUAACUUCGGGAGAAGGGGGGCCAUUCUGGGUGAUUGGAUUUUCUCCAUGAGCUUGGGGUGGCCGCAGAGACCAGCGAGAAGCGACUGUUUACUAAAAACACAGGUCCGUGCGAAGCCGUAAGGCGAUGUAUACGGACUGACGCCUGCCCGGUGCUGGAACGUUAAGGGGACCGGUUAGUCGCAUUUCGGUGUGGCGAGGCUGAGAACUUAAGCGCCAGUAAACGGCGGUGGUAACUAUAACCAUCCUAAGGUAGCGAAAUUCCUUGUCGGGUAAGUUCCGACCUGCACGAAUGGCGUAACGACUUCUCGACUGUCUCAACCAUAGGCCCGGUGAAAUUGCACUACGAGUAAAGAUGCUCGUUUCGCGCAGCAGGACGGAAAGACCCCGGGACCUUUACUAUAGUUUGAUAUUGGUGUUCGGUUCGGCUUGUGUAGGAUAGGUGGGAGACUGUGAAGCUUGGACGCCAGUUCAGGUGGAGUCGUCGUUGAAAUACCACUCUGGUCGUGCUGGAUGUCUAACCUGGGUCCGUGAUCCGGAUCAGGGACAGUGUCUGAUGGGUAGUUUAACUGGGGCGGUUGCCUCCUAAAGAGUAACGGAGGCGCCCAAAGGUUCCCUCAGCCUGGUUGGUAAUCAGGUGUUGAGUGUAAGUGCACAAGGGAGCUUGACUGUGAGACCGACGGGUCGAGCAGGGACGAAAGUCGGGACUAGUGAUCCGGCGGUGGCUUGUGGAAGCGCCGUCGCUCAACGGAUAAAAGGUACCCCGGGGAUAACAGGCUGAUCUUCCCCAAGAGUCCAUAUCGACGGGAUGGUUUGGCACCUCGAUGUCGGCUCGUCGCAUCCUGGGGCUGGAGUCGGUCCCAAGGGUUGGGCUGUUCGCCCAUUAAAGCGGUACGCGAGCUGGGUUUAGAACGUCGUGAGACAGUUCGGUCCCUAUCCGCUGUGCGCGUAGGAGUUUUGAGAAGGGCUGUCCCUAGUACGAGAGGACCGGGACGGACGAACCUCUGGUGUGCCAGUUGUCCUGCCAAGGGCAUGGCUGGUUGGCUACGUUCGGGAGGGAUAACCGCUGAAAGCAUCUAAGCGGGAAGCCUGCUUCGAGAUGAGAACUCCCACCUCCUUUGAGGGGUUAAGGCUCCCAGUAGACGACUGGGUUGAUAGGCCAGAGGUGGAAGGCCGGUAACGGUUGGAGCUGACUGGUACUAAUAGGCCGAGGGCUUGUCCG